AGAUGAAAUAUUACAGCAGUAAACCGAGUUUGGUUCUGGACUAGUGUAGAAUAAUUUUUAGACAAACCAGAGAGUGAAGUAGCAUGACAAAAGAGGAAACUCCGUUAAGGUGUGUGUCAUGUUAUUACCACAGCAUUUCAGAAACUAGUCAGUCAUGGUGGUGGCAGUGUGAUGGUGUGGGACUGCCACACUGUCACACAUCAGUGUCAGUGAUAAAAACUACUGACAGAACAAUGAAAUCAGUCGAAUUAUGAGCUGCCAGCAUCAGUUCACCUGCACUUUUUAACCAGACUUGUUCCAAAGCUUCCUGCCCAUAACACUUCAGUGCGCUGUAAGCUACCAGUCAGAUGCAUUAAGUUCACGGCACGUCAUGCCGUGUGGUUUCCAGCCAAAUGGGCACAAAAUAAUGGCUACAAGUCCAGUUAACUAAUUUUAAAACCAGGCAUUAAUCAAUGCUUUACUAGAA